rnacentral:rRNA from 1 species
UACGUAGGUGGCGAGCGUUAUCCGGAUUUACUGGGCGUAAAGGGAGCGUAGGCGGACUUUUAAGUGAGAUGUGAAAUACUCGGGCUCAACUUGAGUGCUGCAUUUCAAACUGGAAGUCUAGAGUGCAGGAGAGGAGAAUGGAAUUCCUAGUGUAGCGGUGAAAUGCGUAGAGAUUAGGAAGAACACCAGUGGCGAAGGCGGUUCUCUGGACUGUAACUGACGCUGAGGCUCGAAAGCGUGGGGAGCAAACAGG